AACUGCUCUCUGAUUAUAGGCAAACAAAGUCAUCUUUGUAACAAAAUGUGCAAACAAGUUGCUAUAGUUUCGUGGAUUAAAAAAUGGAGCGCAACGGAGACGCAGAAAUUUUCCAUAAGUCUGAUUCCAAAGGGGGGCAAAAAAAACUCUUGAGUUUUAAUAAUGAAAUGAAAGUUAAUUUUCCGCAAGGUUCUUGUUUGUAAUUUAAAAGUUGUUUUCAUUUUAUGAGUGCCAAGAGGGACAUUAACGAUGCAAAACACACCAAGGUAGUUGCUACGAGAAAGCAAAGAAUAAAAAUGAAAAUGAAACUAUAAAAAUGUCGAGCGACCGAGUGAGAGAGUGAGAAAGAGAGAUGGGGGAGAGUGAGAUAAGAGUAAAAGAAAUAGCACAUAAAAAACAAAAGGUGAAUUACUUGGGAAGUGUGCCUCGGAGAGACAUUUUUGUGAAUUUACCUGAACACGUUUUACAGUAAUGAUGACAUUUUUGGCAGCCGAAUUCCGAUUUAAAGAAACCCUCUGGACAUUCGGGAUGACACUCGCCACUGGCUAAUUGCCAAUCUUUUGGACACUGCACACAUUGAUCGCGUCUCGGUCCACUGCACGUUGCACAGCUCAAGUAGCACUUCGAGCAUGUUCCACGAUCACUGUAGUAUCUGUUUAAGUGCGGGCAUUAAGACCGGCCCCAAGCAAACGGAAGAAAGAAAAUGGCAGAAAAUACGUUUCGUUAAUUUAUAUUCGGUUGGAAUUUUUUAUUCUAUUGUGAAAUGGGAUAAAGUAAUCAAAUGUAUGCAUGAGCACAUUCUGUUCUUGAUGGCAACAGAGAAAUAUGGAGAUACGGUCACACCGAGCCGAACAAGCGACGACCUGGAUAAAAUGCAAAACGAUAUGAAAAGAUACUCAUUUGGAUGACACGUACGUACGUAAAUAGGUACGAACGCUAGCUGCUUCAAACAAAUGCAAACCACGCACAUACACUUGACCAACACUCGGCAAAUGUGUCACAUUCUCACAUCGAACACCACAUUUUAUGCAAUGCAUGAGCCCUCUAUGCGCUUCCACUGUGUCCAAGUGCACAGCAACUUAAAUAAAUGGGAAAGAUUUUUGUUGAAGCCAUCUACAGCAGCAUCUCCGAGAAUCGAGUGGGCCGAGUUGAAAAUUAUUUGUUUUAUUACUUCGUUUGAGUUGCUUGUUUUUGGUGGCGGUCAGGCGUUUGCGUUUUGUAUUUUUCACAUUGUGUGACAGUGAUCUCUUCUUCUUUCCGAAACCAAAAUGCAACUCGAGCCCGAGAGUGCAUGACUGCGAUUGUGCUCAAAACAUCGGAUCCAUUGUGCAUGGCAUAACAUUUGAAAUCCCAUUGCAAAAGCCAAAGCCAAUCCAAGCCAUACGACUUUCGCCAUCAAAUGCAUAAGGUUUAAUUACGUAACUUACCCUUGAGCGCACGUUGUUCGACAUUCACCGCUUUGUAAUUGCAAUCCUUUGGAACACGCCGUACAAUUCAUACGAGACACACAUUGGGUGCAAGUGUGUAAGCAUUUCGCACAAACUCCCGCUUCCAUGUAGUAGCCAUCAUCACAGAUUUUGCUGAGCAGAAACUUAAUUGUGCUGAACAAACUCUAGCCAUUAAUUUCGGCAAAGCCGAAAAACGACUUUUGGAAUUAGCAUGAAAGACAAUAUGUUCAGAUGUUUGUGCAAUGUGUGAAAAACAGUGGUUUACAUUAAAAUGACCGUCGGCCAUGAGAGAUUCAAUUUGGUAUGUAUAAUGAACAUGAACAAUACAAUGUCACAUAAAUCACUCAAUCUCAACGACAAAAUAACAAAUCAAAAUGGCAAAAAAGAAUGGCUCGUACUGGGUAAAGCCGAAACGCUGCAGGUAAUUAUGGCUUGAUUCAAUGUAAUGGUAAUUGAGUCUCAAAAUGAAUGUACAAUUUCCAAUUUCGACGUAAUAAUUAUCUUAAAAAUUAGGAAGAUGAAACUGAGAUGCAGCUGUCGGAGGGUAUAAAGAACGUUCCAACAAUUCAAAUCACAAACACGCCCAUCACGUUAUACUUAUUUUAUUAUGUUCUUUAACGGCUUUCUCAUUAUGUCGUAUUUUUAUUUUCGGUUGCGAUUUUUCUUACUUUUGUGUCUCCGACAUUUCAUAAAAUGGAUGCUCAUUUGUUACCGAUCUUCGGCAGUGGCCGUCAGUUGUAAGCACUUAUUUUCUGUCUCAUUUAAUGACACACUUUAAUAAGUCCACUUUGUAUACGCGUUCUUACAAAAUGAAUUAAACGACCGAAAUGUUGUUUUCUUUGGUAUUGCACCAUAAAUGUAUUACUUUACUAUGACGAGGCGGUGUUCUUUUAAAGAUUUUUUUCUCCUGUUGCUUUACGAUAUUUCAAAGUAUCAUUUUAAUGAGAAAAUAAUACGAAAUAAUCUUGAUAAAAUGUCCUCAGCAUAAAUAUGGUAAAUUAGGGGAAUAAAAUGAAUGAGAUACGGAGUAAUCAGCGAAGUCGGUGAAGUUCAUAAAUAAAACAAUUACCCAAAUGCGUAACGUUUGUCAUAAAUCGUGUUUUACUGGGACAGGUGAUUUUCAUGUUCUGCAGAUGGAAUUGAGUAUCUAUCCUCGUGGGAGCUAGCAAAUUUGAUCAACUGUCAAAUGUUUCGUCUGAAUUACGGCAGAUAGAAAUUCAAAAUGACGCGAAGUAGUUGGCCGACAUGGAAUAACGAACAUUAUGACACAAAGGAUGAUUGCUGCGAAGCAGCGAUUGUUUAACAUUUUUGAAAAGUCGAAAUUAUGUCAGUUUCGGAUUUUCGCCGGAGGUUUUGGAAGAGAUUUAGUGGUGCUGUUUGAGCGAAACGCACUGCAAUGAUGGAAAAAAUGAUGCUUUUGCUAGAGAAACUUUGCUCUGUGUAUAUAAUGAUGCGAUGUAGUUUAUGAAAACGCGCUAUACAGGGACAUAAAGGGAUUUUCAUCUGACGACAAAUAAAAGAGCGCUGAGCUGCGUUUCACAGUAUGUGAAGCGCUUGGCGGUGGCCAGGCAGAGCGAUAAGACACACACAGAGAUAGAAUGAGAGAGAAAAAAGAAAAAUGGGAGAUCGAGAUAAAUAUGUGGAUGUAAUUUGCUCCGCUGCAUGUGAUGUGUGUACAGAAUAGAAGAAAAGCAAAUAAAGUGCUCAGUAGCGCAUUUGUGAGCGAUGGAAGAACAAAGACGACAGCUGAUAAAGAAGAAAAUCCAAUUUAGUUCGAAUAUAAAAUGUUGAAAAUAUCCGCACGUUGUACAUGAAAAAAAAAUGUACAGCGAUGCGCGAGUGCUCACACACGCGGCGCUAACACACACACAUUUGGUUUUCUUUCUAUUCGUUCAUUCAUUCGUUCAUUCGCCCUUCACACUAUCACACGCUACACACUUUUGAAUAGCGCUAGUUUGUGCAUACGCAAUGUUUUGGGUUGUGUUUAUUGUGAUCGUGUUAAUAUAAAAUUCAUCCGCCAAGAUCAACGCACAUCUCCCCUUUUCUCUGCACAAAAGAUUUCUUGCGAUGCCAAAAUUCGUCGACAUCCUAACCGAACGCUCAUUCCAGAUGGUAUUACAUUCAACAGAAGAUUUGUGUAUUUCUAAGGAGCUUUUCGAUGCAUUUUACAUGUGAAUCGAUUUAAGUGAUGAGCGCAUCGCAUCUCUGGCGCUAAUUUCUUUGAAUUUGAUUCAGCUUCUGCUGGCGUUCAAACGUUCCGUUUUUAUCCCCAUUAUUUUCAUCACUUUAUAUGGAUGGAAAACAAAGGAAUCGGAACAAGAAGCGAGUUAAUUCACAUAACGCGAUUAUAUUAUGGUAUUAGCCGAGUGUAAUGGAAAGUCGCACAUGAACACUAUCCGAUGUAGCUCUAUGACGGGAAGAAACGAAAAAGCUAUUGAUAUUCUCUAUAAAUGGCCAUAAAAUAGACUGAAUGAACAAACAUAAUGAGUAAACAACACGCGUACAAACGCUGUGUGUGCUCGUAGAUAGCUUUUGCUUGAAUCGCAUCACCAUCCACUGCCUCAACGCUUCAAAUACAUAAGGAAUUUAGCGCGCUAUUUUUAUACACAUACAAGCUCAACAGCUAAAAAGAUUGCUCGCUUCGCUCACCACUCUUUCCUGUCUCUCUUUUUUAGCCUCUUGCUGUGUGUAUUGCUCUCCUAAACGUGCACUUUUUGCUUUCAUUUUUAUUACAUCAUUACAUAUUUUGAUAUAAACACCAUCUACACUUUAUGUAAUAUAGAAUAAUAAACGAUGUGAGUUUGUUGUCGUUCUUCGGUUGUUUCUCUUGGCUCGAUGUUCUUUUUGUGUUUUUGGUUCCGUUCGGUUCGUUUGUUUUAUGCACAUGUGAUUCGGUUUUAUUGGACCAAAAAUGAUUUUACUAUGUGCAUAAGCCGUUCGUAUUGUGCCAUACUUCUAUAUGUUCCGUAUAAAAUACGUUAUUGCUCUUGGGCUUAAUCUCUCAUAUUAUCUUAUUUCCAAUUUUUUUUCUUCUCUUCUCUCUACUCUUUCACCAACUUCUUCUCCAAUUUUCUUUUUAUUCUCGUGUUGCUCUGUAUAUAUUUUCCACUCGGAGAGAGCAUGAGAGUGUUGGCUGUCGGAAUAUGUGAAAAUGAAAACAUGCGAUUUAACUUUGUACAAGCGAAGAAAAACGCCAAGAAAAUGGCAAAGCGAGGAAAUGCGAUUCGAUAUAGAGCAAACGAAAGACGACAGAGAAAAAAAAACAACAUAACUGGAAGCAGCAAAUCGAAUGAUGUGAAGAAAAUGAAUCGGAAUGGCUUCACAGAUUUCAGAUGGUCAGUGGCUGUUGAAAGGAAAAAUCAGAGUCAAAUGAAAAUAAAAACAAGUUGAGAAAAGAUGACGCUUUGGAAAAUGGAAUGUGUCACAUAGUAAUCGAAAACAUCGAACCGAAACAGAAACCUCCCGAAUGUGCUCCACACACACACACACACACACACACACACACACAAACACACAUACAUUUUGCCCGUUUGGAAUGAGUUUUAUAAUCAAAUGCAUUGAAAAUGUCAACUAGUUUGUAGUAUUAUUAUGUUUUGUAAGCAUCCGGCAACUUGAUUGGUGAUAAACCUCAACCCAUUUCUAUUUACCACAUCGCCCUUAGUCCCCUGGUCGCUUGGGUUUUUCCAUCGCAACGGUCGUUUUCGAGCAGCAAUAACACCAAAAGUGGAAUCGUUUCUUGCCUAAGUACUUACAUUCAUCACAAUUAUCACUUCCGUUCAGAAUGCAACGGUUCUUUUUAUUUUUGUUCCACUUUUCUUUGCAUGUCAAGCAGAAUCCGUUGUUGGUGCACGUUUCGCAUCCGGUUGGACAUUGCAUACAUUCUUGCCGCUUUUUAUCACCAUAAUAGCCCGUUGGACAGUUAUUCAAGCAUUUCCCUUCAAAAGAAAAACGUCCGGUACGACAUGUUAUGCACUGCGUUUCCGACGAACCAUUGCACGUCAAACAGGAUGAAUGACACGAUGCACAGCUAGAGAAAAGGCAAAAAAAGCAAAUUGAAUUGGUUAGAAAUAAAUUAAAUUGUGGUUUUUAUUACGAAACUAGUGAAAUCUAUGAAUAUGUCUGCUUGAUUCGGAAAUCAAACGAAGAGAGAGAAUGCUCGGUGAAUGCCGUAUUUUCUCCGAGUCAUUUCUCUUUUUUUUCAGUAGAUAAAUACACAUUUUUUGCAUGCGAUGCAGGUAUAAGUCAAGCUAUAAUUGAUUUCUAGUGGUUUUCUGUUGUUCCCCCUUUUUUUGAGCGGUCAUCAUUUUGCACCAACUUGACUCCCAAUCUACCCCACCAAAUCGAGUUGAUUCGAAACUAUUUCUACGUUGGCGAAAAAAAGAACACGCAGCGAGAGCCCGUGACAACAAUUAAUUGAUGCCCCAAACCGAAACAGACGUAGUUUAUGCACGGCAGACAAUAGUUUAUUGUUGUUUGUCUGUUUAAUUGGUUUAUUUCGAACAUUUAUUUAUUUAUUUCAACCAAAAGCGAAACGCCAUUGACAGCGCCAAACAGACACAUACACACAAACGCAUGCAAGCACGAAAAAAAAUGUGCUUCCAAUAAAUGUAAUCCAUUGCAUUUCCGAUUUGGUUGACGUGGUAUCGAUAUGCUGAGCGAAAAAAUGCAAUUAAAUUGUAAUUUAAAUGCCAGUUCUAUCGAAAAAGUGAUUACGAUAGGCGGCUAUGCAAUAUAUGAACUGGUUUUUGAUCUUUCAUUUUUACGUUGAAUGGGUCGUGUCAGUCCGUCCAUCGGGACGCUUUGUAAAUUGGUCGACAGAUCAAGUGUAAAAAUAUUUUAAACUUUUUUUUUCCCAAAAUGUGUAUUCACAUCGAUAAAAAUAAAACAGAGCGGCUAUUAAAUUGGUUACCGCUGAGUAUCACAAAAACUCAGAGCCAACGGCAAUGUCUUUGAUACUUUGAAGUUAUUCAAAAUGAACCAAUUGAUAACGAUGGGAAAUGAGGUUCGGUUUGUGACACACAGCAAAUAUCCUGCGGUUCUUGUGCUCACACUUUGAUGUCAAAUUCAUGUAGAAAACAAGCAACAAAAAAACUUAUUGCUUACCCACCAAAUAAAUCUGCAAUGAAUAUUUUAAGCCAAGGCAAAGCCCAAUUAUUUCAUUAUUAUGUGUGUGUUACAUAAUCUCUUUUACGGACACCGAAAGCGACCAGUGACAAUAAAUCCAAUAUAGAAAUUGUAUGUAAUUUGCUCAUUUUCACUGACCGUUUAAGUAUCACUGGCGACCACAUUAUUUUUAUUGAAAAAUUAUCUGUAAUGUGUUUUAAAUUUCAUUUGGUCAGCAUGGCUUUAUGAAACCAUUGCAGCUUGCAUUCUGUACGUGAGUACAUUUGUGUGUCUGAUAUUUGUGUGUGUGUUUUACGCCAUAAAACGAGUUGAGUUGUUGUUUAUCCGUUUGUCGGUUGAAUUCAAAUUUUCUCGUUUUGUUUGAUGAAAUAUGCAAUUUCAUUGGAAUUAUUUUCCCCAUUUAUAAUACAGAGUUUGUCCAAAAAAUCCCUUUUACCCAUGGCCACAUCAAAGACAUAUUGGGAUUUGGUGAAGUGGUUUGGGCACGUUUUUAUGCAACCACGGCAAUAGUUUUGAAUUAUUUCAAUCGAAUGCAGUCGACUUGUUGGAUUUUGAGAAUUAACAUUAACACAAAUGGGCCGUAAUUGUGAAGAUCAAUGCCGAUUUGUGAAAUAGACCGGUUUAAUUGAUGAAAACAAAUCAACAUUUUCAAAUGAAACUUUUUUCCACUGAAUUGAAAAGAUUUUUAUAUUAUUCAUCACGGUUGUUUUGUUAGAUUUUGACUAUAUAGUUGAUUAGUUGUUUUUCAAAGCUUUUACAAAAAUUGCCAUGUUUUUGAUAAAUGGAGAUAAUUGAUGGCAAUGGAGGGACUGAGAAGUUGUUCCAAUCAAUUCCAAAGCCCGAAAAACUGUUUAAACCGAUUUAGGAAUUCAUUUGCAUUUUAAAGCACGUUCAUAUUAAUUGAAAUAACAGCUUCAGCUUUACGUACGAUAAAGUUAAAAUAACUGAUUUUGAAUGUAGAGUUUGUUGGGCAAUUCGAAUUAAAAAGUGAAGCAUUACGAAAACAUUGAAAACUGAUUGAUUGAACGGCAGAUUUUUUCAUUAAAUACGUGUUGAAAUCAAGCCGAAUAAUUAAUUAGCCCCAUAAAUAACUUCAUCGGAAUCAUGAUCAAAGAAAAUGGAAUGAAUGUAUGUAAGAGGAAACAGGAAGAAAAUCCGUUGCCACCAGUUGAAGUGAUUAUAGGUAUAAAGUGACGGAAUGAAAAUUUCAAUUACCCCGAAAAUGAAAAUCGAAAUCAUCUAUUCAGUUGGUGUUUGCAUUUUUGGUUAUUUGCGUUGAUGAUGAAAUUGAAAACGAAACGUAAAUUUUGCACAUCCACUUGAAAUCGAUGUAAAUUUGACGGUAAUGAUGACAUUCGACGAGAGUAAGACUCUCGUUCGAAUCCACUCGCAUAUGACGUAUGAAUAGGAGGAAAUGUCGUAAUCUACUCGAGAUAGCAAAGCAUCACCACCGAGUCAUAGUACGAAAAUCAGCCUAACGAACGAACGAACGAACGACGAACAAACGCGUGGGUGAACGAGUGAGACGAUGGUGAGGUGGUUACGAAGUGUAAAACCAUGCCGCAAUACCGUUGUCGGUUUUAUAGUUUACGAUCGUAUUGAAUACAGGUGCUGUCUAUAAAUUGAAUUUAACAUUGAUUGAAGUGGUCGUUGUAAGCAUAUUCCGUAGACAAAUACAAAUGCCUCGAGCAUAUUUGCCUGUAUUGUGUAUGUGCGUGUAUGUGGUUAAACGAUAAAUCCGCACACAAACAGCAGCGUGGCCGACACCGGCACACUCAGGUAGACAUUGUAUUCGUUUAAAUUUAAACGAUUCAAUUAAUCUUAUCGAGUUGAGUUUGGGUAUGCUUUUAUUUUAUGUGGCUUUCAAAAUGGUAUGGCUUUGCAUCAAUUUUUCAUUGAUGGUUUGCCCGAUGUAAACCUUUGUGUGCCGAGUUGGGAUUACAGCGAAUAUUGACAUGGAACAUCCUCUUGCGCUUCUCCAUUCCCUGAUUCCGGGCUUUUAUUAAGUGAAAUUGAUGUCGGAAUCAUUAUUGCCAUUGUUUUGUAGCCUUUCAACGCUUCUUCACUCAAUCCGUUCAUUCAUCAAUCCGUAUAGUGACCGUAUACAUUCAAAUAACAGCCUUUUCUCUCGGAAGAGUUUUCGGCAGGAAGAACUUGAUUCUUACAUUUUGUAAAUCGAAGUUAGAUUAAAUAUUGAGAUUAAAACAUAUCUUGUUAGAGAAUAUAUUUUGCGAUGCUUCAUUUUUUGUUGCACACAAGCGAGCAGGCUGCAGCUCACUUAGACGAAGUGGGAAAGCGUCGGGCUCGAUUGCAGUACAAACAAAAUUUUCCCUUUCUACCAUUCCUUUGGUAUUUGUUGAACCGAAAACGAAGAAACAACUUAUAACGAACAGCAAUACUGGAAACGCUAGGCGGCGGCAAAGGGAUAUUGCAACUUUUUUGACCAGAAAAAACGCCAUCUUACGUCGUGCCCGUAAAUUAUUUUACUGUACAUUUAGAUGGUAGAGCUUGAACAAAAGUUCGACACUAUGCAUAAACUUGGAAAGAGCUUGAUAAACUUGAUGAAAUACGUAUAUUUUAUGGUCGUUGCAAUACCCCUAUGGGCGGCGGCGACGACAGUGCUGUCGAAAAUGUGAAAUUUUAACAUUUUACAAAAGUUAAAUUUUAAUAGAACGACCAAAACUUUCGCCAUAUAUUUUAAUAAUGCCCAAUUCCAAUAGAAGCAACUAUAGACGAAACGGAAGAGAUAUCUUCAGCUAUUGUUCACAUGGUUUUAUUUUCAAGUUACUUUUAAUUUUUGCCUGUUUUCAUUGCAUUUAUGUAAAUGUUUCACUAUCGCUUAUGCGAUAGAGAGUUUGCAAUAUUUCAAGCAUGUGCCGGAACCACUUUAUCAAAAUCUGCACAUGAACACUACAAUUUCCCAGAAAGUAAUACCAGAAUGUUUCGUUAAUCCUAGGAAAAGUGUAGUGAACUCGAUUCCGAUCGAAUCGCUUGAGAAAGUAAAUUAGUCAAAAUUUCUUCGGUGACCUUUUUAAGAGAGAAGAAACUCAAACUGGAUAAAAGUUCUUUUUUUUCUCGGAAAUUUGGCUGCAAAACUAUUCAACACAUUGGCAUAACUAAGUUAUCCAUAUCAGAAAUGUGGUCGAAAAUAUCGAACCUUUUCGAUAUUUGUCAUUUGCAAUGCACUCAAUUUGUUUGAAUGCGUGUGGUGGUUGUGUUAAUUGUAAAGGGAGUCAUUGGAAUUUUAGUGGGCAUUUAAAACAUUACUAUCCGGCAGCCAGAUAAUUACAAAGCAAACCGAACUGAACUGAAUGCCCUAACUGAUGUUUAUCUACAAAUGGACAGUUAAAUGCGUCCAUUGCGAGCAUCUAUUGUUGGUAUGUAAUUUCAGUUCUCGCAGGAUGCAUAAAGCAUUGCUGCGUGUUUGCUAAGUUGAACGGCAUUAAAAAAAUUAACAACACGAAACCAAAUCCAAUUAAAUGAAGGCAGCAAAGAGGAAAUUGAUGGUCCGACUUCAAGUACUCUGGAAUGCUAGUGGAAAUGCAUGUGUCGUGAAAGUUUAUCAUCCAAUGGGCAAUAACGUUAUGUACUUUAUACUGUCGUUGGAUUGAAAUCGGGAGAUUGAAUUGAAAUGGGUACAUUUCCCUCAAGAACAUCUAAAUUCAACCGUUUGAAAGGCAUGUAAAAAGAAAUGCCAAAGAAAUUACGUUGAUACCGACGCCAGCUACAAAAUGCAAAUGAGGAAAAUUGUAUUUAAUUUUUUUUUUGUAGUUUUGCCCAAAAACAUGUUCAUCGAGUGUGAAAAAAAAGAGAAAAGCAUAUUUACUCGUAUGAGUUCAUUUCCAUUACAUAAACUCGUUUAAAUCACCAGGGAUUCGUUGUAUCAAUAGCUGAAUACACAAAGUUUCGCUUAGCAAAUGCGACCGCUUUGCGACGCGACAACAUUGACAAUUCGAAUCGAUAAAAUCUAAAUGAAGAUAAAUUUAUUGCAGUGCAUUUUCAUGAGCUUUUGCAACUACUGCAUGAAAAAUGAAAUGCAGUGCCAAACAGAGUGUGUGUGUAUGUGUGUUCGCGCGUGUGUCUGUGAUGCAUGUGAAAGCGAAUGUAUAUAUAUCAGAGAAAUGCAAAUAUCCGAUGUUUACCUCAUUAUACACAUUUGCAUACAAACAACUGAACUAGCAAUAAGUAAGAAAUUUAUAUUCAGUCUUUUAUUUUAUAGUUUGUCGUUGUAGAUCCUUCACUGCAAUUCCGUAAACUUACUCAGUGCUUUGUGUUUCACAUUGUUCGAGACAAUCUUAUGAAAGAAAAUGAAAAUGUUAGCAACAAACACAGCACAUGAGAUGAGAGACGUAAAUCAUUAAGCGAGCUUAAAGGAAAUUGUUUCGCUGUGCAAACUGACGAAAAUUGUGGCAGAAACAUCUAUUCGAUUUCAAUCUGAAUUUUGAAUGGGGUUCUUCGAUUCAAUGCAUAUGUGUGGAAUUUCUUAUCCAAUUCCACACAUUUCCAUUUCGAUGAAGCAAACAGUUUGAGUUUCAUUCGGAAAUGAUAUACGAAAUAAGUGUGUGAUUUCGGGUUUUGUGUGUGUUGCAGUGUUUUAUUUUCGAACCACGGAGGAUCUGAUUGCGAAGGCAACGGAGAAAAAGUGCCAGAUCAUUUUGUAAUCGGCUGCUGGAAUUAUAGAGCCAACAUUUGAAUACGGUCUGGUAAUGGAUGCUCAAGUGGAAUGAAUGUGCAAUCGGUAAUUUGAAAAAUGGCAAGGAAGAUCGUGCUAAAAGGGUAUCACUUGCCACUCUGAAACAUUAAUCAUUUGUGUUCAUCCUUGUGCACUGCACAACGCCUCUCCUUUCGACAUGCAAACGUUUCGUCUACCUAUUUCAAAGCUUUCAAUUUUUUUUUAUUUGACCGUAUCUUUUGAUAGAAUUACAUUAACUGUUUACCACAUUCUGGAACAUGGCUCACCUACAUGGUGCCGUUUCACAUAUCGUCCAAAAUUCAACCGAGAAAAAAAAUCUUCAAGUGAAAGACGCGAACGGUAUGGUUUGCCUACUGAUUAUUAUCUAUUGUGCAAAAUUGCACACACACACACACGCUCACAAAAAGAACGAAGCAUAUGUGAAAAUCUCGUGAAAAAGUGUGCACGAUAGAAGUAGUUUGGCAGAGAAUCCGUUUGGAUGCUCCAUUUUAUUCAUAGCAACCGAAAUGAACGUCGAUGAGCAUUUGGUGUGCAUUUCUCACUGAAUCAGCGCAGAGGUGAAAAUAGAAAAUGACGCUUAGCGACACAACAACAAUGCUAUCAUACACUUUUUGAUUGAAAAAUAUCGUAUGUUCUUUCGGCGAUCCAGACAUUGAAUGGUGCACCUGCACAGCGACGAAAUUUGGCAUUUGUACAUCCAAAUAUUGUUCGUUAUAACAACGAAUUUUCAUCUGAAAUUAACCGAAUCGAAGUGGUAAAUGGAAUCCAAACAAUGAUACAGAUAUCAAAAUGAAAGUCAUCCACUCGCAUAAAUAAUGCGAAAUAUCCGUCUAAUGGAUGAACGGUUUGGAACUGUACCGAAUGUAAAAUAUUUUUCAAUUUUUCACCAUUCAGCAUCAGCAGACAAUGUAAAUUGAACCUUUUGAGCAAUUUUCACUUUAGCUUUUUUACGUCGCAUAAAAUGCCUGCAAGUGCUAUUGAAUAUUGCAUUUUUUUCUGGAAGUUUAAUGGAAAAAUGAAACAAGAGACUUCAAAAUCGAAUGCUGUUCCAUGUGUUUUUGCUCCGCAAAAAAAAGAUAGAGUAGAUUUGAAUUCAUUCUUCGAUAUGAAUUCGAAAAAAUUCCAUAUGCAGCCAAACACUAAUUUAAGAGGCAAAAAUACUGAAAAAAGCGGAAACACCAUUGGAUUUCUUUGCCCGAAGUCCAAUUUUCAAGUGUUCAAUUGACCGCUGUCAAAUUCCACUCAUCAGCCAUAAUUUGAUUUCGCACUCAAAAUGGAGAACAGAACGGGGGGGGAUAAUAUGGUCACAACCUAUAUCAUCAUACACAUACACACACGCACACUUCAAUUAAAUUCCAUGCUAUGGACCAACAAUGUAUAAAAUUCCAUUCGAACACAAAUUGCUUGUUCAUUCUUCACACAGAAUUUUUAUUAUAAAGCCGUUUGAUUGAUUGACCACCUAGUUGGAUACUCAAUAGCAAAACCAACGGCAUCUGAAUUCAGAAAAAUAUAGUGAAUAUUUGUUAUUUGCUAUUUAACUGUUGAGUGUGAAGUGGUCAGUGGAAUGUGAAUUCAAGCAGAAAAAACCCAUUGAAAUCAAACCGUUUCAUUUCAAUGUCAAUAAAACUCUCUUAAAAGUCCAAAGCACAAAAACUAAUUCAUCCAAACCGAAAAGGUGGAAACAUGUUAUGUUUGCCUGUUCUCAAAGCAGUAUUUAUCCACUGUACACAAUUCCCUAAAACUCUGAAUGUUUAUAGUGAAAAUCAAAUUUAUGGUCAACUGUGUAAAUACCAACAAAAAUAUGGUCUGCAUUUAUUUAUAUACAAUGAAUGUGAUUCCUGUGCUAAAUAUUUUAAUCCCGCUAAUAUAUAAAAAUACGGUUAUAUAUAAAUCUUAUCAGUGCAGCUUUCCGUAAAAAAGUGGCUUUGACUCGAAGAAAGCCGUUUGCUUUAUUUACCUACUGAAACAUGAGCCAUGGCGUUGUGCAUGUUUGUGUGUGUGCCUCGGUAUCAUGUUAAAUUCUCAACUUUAGAGCAAUAAAUUUUCAAACGCUUGAAGUCAUUGUAAUGUAAACGGGGCCUUGUGUAACGAAUGGUGCUUGAAAUGUGAUAACGUAUGGCUUUAUUAGGUAAACUACGACAUUUCGUUGCUAUCGUUCUGUCCAUGGAUCCUUGCAGCGCAAUCCGAUGAAAAUUCAAAAAGGGUAGCAGUGAUUAUUUGAAUGAAGGCUUUAUGUUUUCGGCAAAGCAAACACACACACACACGCAGCCAUAGUUUUCAUUGAGCGGUAAUUAGCACGGGUUGUGUGUCGACUUGAUACAAAAUGAAAUAUUCAAUUUCCUAUUUUAAGCCUCACACAAAAGUAAAACAGCAAGCGGUUUUUCCAAGCUAAAAUUUUUCCCAAUGCAUACUAUUGGAGCAAUGUGCCGUACUUGACAUGGUACAAAACUAUUUUGAGUGCACCCAUGAACCAAGCACCGUUUGACAAUGUCUCUGUAGUGCACCACGCAGAAUACCUAUAAACAAUGGAUUGUUGAUCAUGGACGAUAUUCAAGUAAUUUCCCGGUAAUGGACAGGUAUGAAAAUGUUGCAAAUUUUUCGAAGCCCCUGUGUGGCGCCCACUGUGCUCAGCAAGCGCAUAUAUGUAUACAUUUCUAGAAUUUCCCUUCCAUCGCCAAUGGAUAUAACUGAGAAAUGAAGAAAUUAAUUUACAAAUCCGAUGCUAUAGCUAUAACUAAAUAUUUACAUGACUACUGCUAUAUGCAAACAUUACAUUCGGUGAAUUCAGGUUCAUCUAACUUGAUUUUGCCCAAUGAGGCACGUAUUUACGUUUGAGAUGCAAUAAAUAUAAACGUAAUGGGCAAUUUAAUCGAAAUGGAAUGUACCAAAUGUCUUUGGCGCAUCACAAACAGGCAAUUACGUACACACAGUGAUUAAUGUCUCAAUGGGCUCAACUCUAACAUAUUAAAUAAAUUAACAGUUCAUAAGAUAUGGAUCGAAUAUAGUUAGAACAUGUAAAAUAAAUAGAUUCUUAGAUCGAAACAUCAAUUCAUUUGAAUGAGCAAGAGCAUGAGUAUGACCAUGACCCAUAUUCAGCUUAAGAAUUCAAGACAUCGAAUAUCAUCCGAUAUGGCAGGUAUGCAAUAGCAAAACACAUUUAAUCGAAAAGUGCUUAGCGAGUUGCAUCUUUAGAAAUUGGAAAUUCAAUUAAAUAUUAUUCUAAAGGUUCAUACCAAGUUUAAUAGAGCAAUUGAGUCAUUUAAUUUCAUUCUUUAUUGUGUAGUCAACUCGAAUCACGAAACUGAAAAUAUUUGUUGGAAUAUCUCGAACUGAAAAGACCUCAGAACUCAAUUCAAUUGGAAAUAUUAAUUUAAUUUAAAAAAAACUCUAAUUUGCCUUUCGGAGCCAAUGUCUCUCAAUAGUAAUUACUUCGCAGACUCAAGUCCGGAAUAAAUAAGUGAAACUAAAGUCGAAACACCGCGCUUGAUUUUCCUCUUUUUUUCUGUGGGUUUCGAAAAGUUUUUGAGCACCACCUUUUAGUCUCAAGCAGAUACAAUAAAAAAUCCUGCAACAUUUACUUAUUUUUUACUACUGUUGCUGGCGUCGUCUAUAUUUCAUAACUUUGUUUACUUCUUGCAAAUGAAUUAUGCAAAACUGUGUCUUGGUUUACAUGCCCGUUGAACAUUGGUAAAAGUUUGAGUUUGAAAAUUGAUUUUAAUUGAUCAUGGUCUAGUUUCGUUUUACCUUUGGUUUCAUUUUAAUCAACGAGGCAGAAUUCUAGUCUUGGUGAUUAAUUUCUUAUAAAAUGUACACAUUUCAGACUUAUUUACAUUAUUCGAUUUAUUUUUCGCAAAACUGACAUUAUUGUCAAAUUGGCCUCGAAAUUUCUGGACUCAUUGACUCAAUGGAUUGAACUACCCAAAGGAUUCCGAGCAAUGGAAAAGCCAUCGGGCUGUUUGACAAAAGCAGUAUCCAUGAAAAAAUUGCGCAAUGUUCAUUUCAUGGAAAUAAAUUUAAUGUUGAAAGUAUUCGCUCCUUGUAAAAAUGCGAAGUUAGAGAAUGGUAAUGGAAGUGGACGGCAAGCAGAGAUGUAAAAGAUGGUGUUGAUUUGAAUUAUAAAUGAGCAGUAAUGCAGAUACGGCGGGAAAAGAGCAAUUUGUAGUCUUUAAAAGACAACAAUCGCUUAUUGUUGGUCAUGUGAGCUUCAGGCAAAGUACCUUCCUUCCAGAAAAACCCGUUGGGACCUGCACGAGGAUAAAUUGGGCAGAGACUCGACUCGACUGUAGAUUUUAGACUGUAUGAAUACAAGACUUACCUCCAAUACUGGCAUUGUAUGCAACACCAACGCCGCAAAAGCUGUUAAAUGCAACAGCAGCCACUUCACCAGCACAUCGUGUUCCGUGCUUAUUAUCACCAUUAUCCUGAGGCAUUGGAUCUGAACGUCAAAAAUAAUGGGAAAAUCGUUAAAAUAAAAUCGUCGACAAAAUGAACAAAAACGAUAAAGGACAAAAACGUCAAAAAUCCAUAUAUAUUUUUUUGGUGGCCAAAAUUCAAAAACGUCAAAAUAAUCAAGUAUUCUUCAAAUGAAAAUUGGCAAAAUCGUCAGAAAUUAUUAACAAAAUGGAGUAAAUUUUAUAGAUAAACGAAAUUCUUCAGGUGAUUCUGUUUUUUUUUUUUUUGGAUUAGAAAAACCAACUUAUUUUGAAUUUAAAUUCAUAGCUUCACAGUCUGAAUUGAUUUAAAAAAAUGUCUGCAUCAAAAUUCAACUCAUAGACUCGUUGAUUUACGUUUUGUUCAUAAUCAUUGAAAUCUGUUGUAAAUUUACCUUGCUGAUAAAAUCAGAAUUACCUAAAGAAUUUCGUUCAUCAAAAAACUUUUUUCCAAUGAAAAUUGUUUUUUGACGAUUUUGUAAUUUGUAAUUUUCGACGCUUCAUCAUUUAUUUUUUUUUAAUUCAUUUUGUCUUUUGAUGAUUUUGCUAAAUAUUUUUGACGUUUUUGUCAUUUUUCUGACAUUUAUUCAAUUAACCUGAAUCAUUUCCAUUGAUGUCGUAGCUAGCAUCCGGAUCCUGAAACCAAGACAAAUAAAAACACAUUAGAAACGCUGUCUCUCUUUUUGUACACCAUGCAUUUGCUAUUCGCUCACAAAAUAAAUAACAAGCCGAAACGAAAAAAAAAUUCGAGUGGGAAAAAAGAGAAAAAAACGAAAUGAAAAUUGUACAUUGAAACAGUUAACAGUUGAGGGUGUUUUAAGGAGCAGUUUAAAAAUGGAUUGCUAUGGUGCACAUUUGCAAUGGUGACUUUUCACAUAUCUGCCAUUGAAACGAGCAUUCGAGCAAACGUGUUUACGGAGCUGAUUGCACUUGAUUUUUUUUCUCGUUUUCGUUAGGUUCGCUCAUUUUAUUGUCGUCCACGUCUAAAUAUUGUUGUUUAGCGGGCGGGUGUAUACGCCAUAAAGAAUGCAAUAUUCAAAAUAAACGCCGUUGCAAAAUUUCCAACGCAAACAAACAUAAUGCAACAACACACGAGUAAACGACAUCUUCACUCCAUUUUGCACUUGAGCGUAUUACCACGGCGUGUUUGUUUUUGCAAAUGCAUUUCUUGAAAUGGAAACUUUGAAUUUUGCAUACAGUGGCAUACAGAAUCGUGCUGUUUUUUUUCUGAUUCUGCAUUAAUAAAAAGACUAUGGUGAUGAUGUAAUCAUGAACUGUUGGAUUGGGGACGUCCUAUAAUGAAUUUUCCUUCUGAAUUUUCGCUACGUUUUAUGCGCCUGCUCUUUCGACCAGCAACAACAUCGAACAUUCACCUAUUUUCCCCCUACGAAGGAACGUUUCAGUCAUUUUAGUGAUGUCUGCAAAUUUUAUGCGGCGUUCAUGAGCAUUACCAUCUCCUCGCAAUUUUGCUGUAAAACUAACAAUGAAUUUUUCUUUGGAAAUAUUUGUAAACUAUGAUCAGGCUAUGUCAUUAAAGUGAACAGGACAUUUGUUAUUUCAGUUAUCGCUGGCAUUCCAGUUUUCGGGGUGCUAACGAGCGUGUGAGUGUGAGACUGAGAUCGAGAGCGAGAGCGAAAGAAACUGAACACGUUCAAGAAAUUUCUCGUCAUUAUUGUGUAUGUGUGCGUUGUGUGUAUGGUGCGCUCCACGCUCUUUGUGUAUUUAUGUACUUAUAGAGCACUUUUAAACAACUCGUCACGAAACAUCUCGUCGUUGCUUUGUUUUAUGUCCGGGCGUGUGCACUUCAAGCAGCUGCUCGCUUUAUAAAUUGUUUUUACAUCAUUGGCUAAGUCGUGUUUUGACUUUUGUUACGUCAUUUCCGGCUCUCCGUCGGGCAAACGACAACAGGCAGCAAGAAAAAAUGCGUCAGUUUUUUUUAAAAUAUGUAUUACCAAAUGUAAUUAAAUGCAGAGCGUCAACACGCAAAAGUCUCGGCCGAUGAGGUGUUCACCGAACAGAAUGAAAGCGGAAAUGAAGUUGACGAAAUGAACAGCAUGGACUAGCAAAUUAUUUGCUGUUAUAGUUGGAGUAAUAAUAACACAAAAAAUUAUACCUAAUCAUAGCAAUAAAUGUAAUAAUAAUAUGGGGAAAACGAUACGGAAAAUUAUGAUGGAAAUCAGGUUGAACCGAACAAAGCAACAACAGCAUAGAAAAAAACCAUAAACAAUUUGAACUGGAAUGUGCAAAAUCCAGGCGAAUUACGAGCCCGCGAGUGAACAACACAAUGAGUACACUGCAUUCAGUAUGCGCUGCGCAUUCUGUGUUGUUGGUCAUAAAUUUUUUGGAUAUUUGCAUGCAACGAAAUUCUGACCCUAUGACGGCUGCUCUUUGCCUUUCAAAUAUAACAUUUGGUUUAAGUAUUCAUUAGAGUUUUCUGUUUUACGAUCGAAAAUUGAUGGCAAGACUGUUUCGACGGAUGUAAAGUGAUUUAAUGGCUCAUGACUUGAACUUCUUAUUUAUAAGCAAAUACGACAAACAAGGAAAAAUACGCGUCAAGUGUGCUCCACCAUUCUAAAAUCAAAUAGAUUAAACGAUUUUAUUGAUGCUCGCAUUUCCGUCGCUCGGCGCUGUGAACACUUCACAUUUCCACGUCAUCAUCAAUUCAAAAGCAUUUUCGGUCGGUGUUAAGGCAAACACGUCAAGCGUUACCAUGCUACAAGUUCGGUUGAAUUCAUCAAACGCAAUCACUGUCAACGCGUAUAUCUUUGACGAACCGAAUGUCAUUUGUUACUUUGAUCACGCAGCAUUCAUUUAAUUUAUGAUUCUUACUUCUUUUGCGUGUCAUUUCAUUUAUUUCACUCAAUUUUACUUUGUCGCUUCAACAAGAACCUAAAGUUAAGCGCUAAAAACACGAAAUUAUCACCUGUGAGAUGAAUGACAAAUAAUUUAUUAAAAUCAACUUUGCUUUUUUUUUGUCUUCUUCUAUUCUAAAUUUGGAAGCCACUCGACGGUAUGUCCUUUAUUUUUUUUUAGUCAACUGGAUUUCAACAAGGGAAACGCAAUGAGAAAGUUUAGGUAUAUACAUGUAUACAUGUUCUAUAAAACUGAUUGACUGAUUGAAGUCUACGGUUCGAAGGGUCUUCAUUUAUUUACAUUGGAUGCAACUUUGAAGAUAAGGGGAACACAUUUAAUCCAUAGAAUAAACAAUGGGCUUUAGUUUUAUCAGAGAACGUGAUGUAUUGUACAGCUUAGAAAUUCCUGGCAUUCAUUGGGCAUGUGCUCGAUUCUUGUGUUUUCACAGUCCAACAAUUUUGAACGAACUGUGUUCUUACUGCUUUGUUUUAUGCGGAUUAAAUCGAGUUUGAAACGGAAUUUCUCGUGUAACUUGGCAAUUAUAUCUUCCUUUCUAAGUUAUCAAGUGGCCGAGAAACUUUUGCAUAUUUUGCAUAUUUCGUAUUCAUGAAUAGAAUACAUGUGAAAUCGCCUUACUUUCCUAAAUAGAAUACUUGAAAUUUGAUUGUAAUGUUGGAUGAAAGAAUAUAGCAAUAAAAUUCAGUCUGUUCAGGUGAGUAUCGACGCUAAAUGCAUCGAAAUGGUUUUGUUCGAAAAAUUUUGGAAGCCAAGAAAAGCCUGCAAUAAAUUGCUGCAAAUGAUUUAUUUCGUUCGCUAAAGUUUAAAGAAAAUACGAAAAAAAUUUCGUUUAAUCACUUUAAGGAUUGUUUUUAAUGCAAAAAAAAUUUGUGCUUCGAUUCGAUGAUUCUUCUAUUUUGUCAUGUCUGUUUUAAUGGCUAAAUUUUCAAGUUUUUUUUUCCAUUCAUGUUACAUUGUCAAAUGCGCUUAAAGGUUCAAAAUAAACUUCGUGUUGUUGUUUUAUUUAUUUCGGUCAAAUUUUUGCGGUUCUUUUCCAUUGAAAUUGAAAAACUUUUCAACAUCAAAGAAAUGCGAAUCUUCUUAUCGUGUGCACAAACACACACCCACAAAUUGAAUGCCAUUAAAAAAAAGCCCGCAUAAACAAUUCAAUUUUCAUAAUGUUCAACAAACACAUACAAGAAAUGGGGAGAAAAAAACUCAGUUAAAAUCCCUUUAUGGUGGAAUUUGCGAAAAGUUUUAUUAUUCGUGUGUCUGCACAACGGCAAAUAACAAAUAUUGAGGAUUCAAUGGAAUCACUCUGCACUGUACUCAAAUUAAAUUGAAAAUUUAUGAAAAUUGCUGGCUUUAUUCAAACAACGGAAAAGUUUGUCGAGUAAAUCAGUAACAUGCAUUGUAUUUGACAUUGAAAUCCAUUAAGCAGGCGUCUGAAGAUUGACUCCGACAUUUAAACAAUUAAUUUUACAGCUUUCGAUGACUUUGCUUAUUACACACAAAUUACAAUCGAAAUAUUGAAAGGAAAAAUGUUUGAUGCUGAAACAUUGAAAUUUUAGGUGAUGAAACAUAUUCGGCGAAGGAGAUGUCACUUUUGUUUUUCUAACGAAGUUUGUGUUUUCUAACGAAGCAAAAAAUUCACUUGUAGUUUUGACUGAAGAGACAGGAUUCAAAAUGAAAAGACAACAAGAAUUGAAGCAUGAAUGCGUUUAGUGUCACUAUGAGUUUUUCGGAUGCAUAAAGCAGUCCCCGAUUUCGCAGCACAAUACAUUUAUUAGCAUUUAUUUGUUGUGAAGUUGGCCGGCUGGACGAGUAUCUAGUAUUAAGCUUGCACCGAUGUGAUAACUACAGUCAAUUAUCAGUUUUAAAUGUCUGGAUGGCACAGAACGAGCUCAGUCAAAAUUACUGUCAAGUUUUUCCAUGUUUUGCAUAUCUAAAAUUUACAACCGCAUAGACAGUAACAACAGAACAAGAAAAACUGCCAGCCAAAUCCAAUACAUUUCUGUCUCUCAAUUGAACAAGCCUUUUAGCUAUUAUGUUUUGUCAGAAAAAUUGAUGUGAUGCUUUAAAAUACAUCCCAGCGCAUCACAGAAAACACCACAUAAAAUAUAAGUGAGCAAGAAAAACAUGGCGAGUGAGAGCCAUAACAGAGAAAAAGAAGAUCGAAAACGGUGUAGCGACUCAAAAUGGAAUGAAGAUUGAGGUUUUUUUUUUCUUUUGCACAAUGAAACACAUUUCAUGUGUUUUAUGUUGGAGAGAUAGACGCGAAAAGUACACAGUUCAGUAAACGCACAUCAGACUUCCCAGUGAAAUGCUGACACCGACGAAAAUAAGAGGCGAAAAAGAAUAAAAUGUAUGCCGAAUCCGGAGGAAAAACGAAGAAAAAUGAAACCAACAACGCACAAAACAAACUAAAUUAUCAUCAUGAAUAUAUAAAAUUGUAAUCAUGUCAGUUUGGUUGGCACGUAUAUAAUUUAAAAUAUUAAAUAUAAACAUUAAAAUAUGAGGCGAAGCGAAUUUAUGUAAAACUCAAGUCAGGGGAACUUCGCAGGGAAUAUGUUGCACAUGCUCUCACUCACAUCAAGAAGCCAAAUAUGAUAAAGUCAUAGAAUGUGUCAUUUUUUUCAUCUUUUUUUCAUUCCUUCUUUUACAAAAUAAAAACGAAAAA